AUACGGAGGAUCCAAGCGUUAUCCGGAAUCAUUGGGUUUAAAGGGUCCGUAGGUGGAUAAUUAAGUCAGAGGUGAAAUCCUGCAGCUCAACUGUAGAAUUGCCUUUGAUACUGGUUAUCUUGAGUUAUUAUGAAGUAGUUAGAAUAUGUAGUGUAGCGGUGAAAUGCAUAGAUAUUACAUAGAAUACCGAUUGCGAAGGCAGAUUACUAAUAAUAUACUGACACUGAGGGACGAAAGCGUGGGGAGCGAACAGGAUUAGAUACCCUUGUAGUCC
rnacentral:rRNA from 1 species